AUGCCAUGGUGUGGGCACUUGAACAACAUCACCUUGAAUCUCCCCCACGUUUCUUGCAGUGUUUCAGCUGGUUUCUGUCUGAAGCUCAAUAUCUCAUCAACUUGCUU
rfam:Nicotiana attenuata strain TT scaffold18599, whole genome shotgun sequence.